CAAAUUAUACUUUAAGAUGGGAUUCUCAUUUACAUUGGGGAUAGUGUUGUGCAAUUCAACAUAAUUUGA
rnacentral:tRNA from 1 species